rnacentral:rRNA from 1 species
UACGUAGGGGGCAAGCGUUGUCCGGAAUCAUUGGGCGUAAAGAGCGCGUAGGCGGCCAGAUAAGUCCGGUGUGAAAGUCACAGGCUCAACCUGUGAAUGCCGCUGGAAACUGUCUGGCUAGAGUCCGGAAGGGGCGAGUGGAAUUCCUGGUGUAGCGGUGAAAUGCGCAGAUAUCAGGAGGAACACCAAUGGCGAAGGCAGCUCGCUGGGACGGUACUGACGCUGAGGCGCGAAAGCGUGGGGAGCGAACAGG